rnacentral:rRNA from 1 species
AUGUUGUUAAAAGCUUCGGGCGGACCAAAAGAUAAACCUGUAUCCCAUUAGAUAGUUGGCGAGGUUACGGCUCACCAAGUCUACGAUGGGUAGCUGAUCUGAGAGGAUGAUCAGCCACACUGGAACUGAGACACGGUCCAGACUCCUACGGGAGGCAGCAGUGAGGAAUAUUGCGCAAUGGAGGAAACUCUGACGCAGCGACGCCGCGUGAAGGAUGAAGGCCCUCUGGGUUGUAAACUUCUGUAGAGUGGGAAGAAUUUCUCGCGCCGCGAGAUUACGGUACCA